GCAAUUUCCGAAGCAAUAACACCUCUCUCUUCUAUAAGAAUGGUUACCUUACCAAAUACAAUGUAAGUACAACAUAGAAGUUACCAUGACCAAAGAAUAGGUGUCUCCUAGACCCCUCCUAGAUUCUAUUAACCUGCCCCUGUUUUUCCGAUGUGAUUUGGGCCAUUUAAUCAGAUCUUACCUACAUUGUUGAUUUCUGGAGACUGAGGAUGAUUGGCAAUCAUUCCUCCUUCUGUGAUUCCAACUGCUUACUCUCCUCGUUCUCGAAGCUUGUUGCAAGAAAUCUUCUUUCAUGGCAUUUCCGUUCGGCUCAAGAAGCGUUAGUAUUGGGGAUGAGCGCUAUUCGUUGCACUUACGAACGAUUUGGAAAUAGAGGGUCACAAUCAACAACCUCGCCGCUAGUUGUAAGGCAAUCGGCUAGGGCACAGGAGGAAAGGGCACAGCACAGGGGGAAAGGGCACAACAAUACAAUGGAUGAAGGAAAGACUCUGCCCGACUCCAACUGCCCUAGCUGCCAGAAUGAUUCGCCCUGUCUUCUUCGCUAGAAAAUGGUUCAAAGGAUAAAUUUCUGCGUUGGUAGCUGCUGAAUCUGGCGUCUGGAAAAUGCUUGCGUUAGGGUUUUAGAACACACAUUCUUCAAAACAGAGAGCUCUCUUUGCCGAUUUCCUGACCAGUAAAUGACUAGACAGUGGGACUCUAUAGGUUCAUCCUGAAAAUAUAAGAGUGGUUCAUUUCUUAGUCAUUCAUGGGAUAGGGGAUGGUACAUUAAUACUCUAAUUCUAGCUGAGCCCAUGCUUGACGCAUCGAAUAAAGACGCCGAAUCACAUAGAUACUUAACUAGCUGUCAAUCAACGAUCUCUCUGAAAAACUCCAAUGGACCCCAUAAUUCUGUCAGUGUUUUCAGCGAGCUGGGGCACGGCCUCCCUUAACAAGGAAAGGUUAAUGCCCAAGCUUUUAAACUCAUUCGUAAUUUCGUAGUGUUCACAAUGCUGUCUCAGAUGUCACAACAAAGAUUAAUGUUACAGUAAUCGAGAUUGAUGUGCGACUGCUACUGCUGGCAGUUCGAUUCUAUCUCAAAAGGAACCGUUAGUGCUUUUUCAGUUGUCGGUCUUCAGCUCUCCAUAUUUUGGGCCAAUCUGAAUAUUCGCUGCUUUUACGAGUGAUCUGUGUAUGUCUUCUAUGGCAUUUUCAAUUUUAGAAAAAAAAAAUCUUUAUCUUCUGGGGCCAAUCUGAAUUUUCGCUGCUUUUAUGAGUUAUCUGUGUAUGUUUUCUAUGGCACGUCAAGCAAAAAAAUUAAAAAAAUUAUAAGAGAUUAUAUCACAUGAGGUUAAUGUGGGGUUAUUGUUUUGAGUAGUCUUUUAUCUACUGGUAUGGAUGAAUGAUUUGUAAAAAGUAUCGUUGGGAACAAAUUUUUCUGGAUGAAGGUUCAUAAUGUUUUUAAAAAGAGUGAGUUCGGGAACAAGUUCCAAAUAGAUUUGGUAGAAUAUGUAUCUUUUAGUCUUUGGCUCUUAGUUAAAAAGAAAAGUUAAUUAUUCAGACUCUUUUACCUACCUUAUAUUCGAUGUUGAAAAACUUUUUAAAGGUUGCUUAUCAUUGAAAAAAGAGAUCUUUAAGAUGCAUAAUACUAAACCAUGAAUUUAUCAUGAAUGUUGCAUACUGAGAUUCUUAAGACUAGCAACAACCUCCAGAACAUUCAGUUGAUAACACCAAGCAAUAUCUAAGAAUCCUCGCCACUCUUAUUACAAGUCUUUAUUAUAGGCACAGAACUAAAAGUCAAUGACAUAGUUUGAUGGCGUUGAUUGUAUAGAAAGCCAAAGUCUAGUUCUUUCUGUCAUAAGAUGUAAGGUAAGCAGGAUUGGCAAACUAUGAUUUAGGAAGACUGAAAAAUGGAUUGCAACUUGCAGAAGUAAAUUGGUCAGUAAUUACUCUUUAAAGAGUAGCAAAUAAGAAUUGAGCGAGUGAACUAAAGACUGAAAAAAGAGUUCUCUGAUCAGAGUAGACAAAUUUAUCAACCAUUCAGAAGACAAAUUUACAUAACUCCUAGAUACUAUAUGUACCCAGGGGCCAGAUAAUGCAAUAAAAAAGAAUGCUCAAACAGACAGAAGUCUACUGGCACUGGUGCAGCAAACAGAAACUGUUUACUAGUCCCAACGAAUUUAAAGAAUAUCGAUAAACACUUACCACCGUGUAAAGCCAAGUGGAUAGCUUCAAAUAUACCAAUGACUCUAAAAUACAUUGAUAUGGUUUUACAAGUAUGUAAAUUCAUGUUUACAGCUUCAACUUUAGCAAUAUUAUGCAAAAUUUCAAUCAAUUUGUUUGCUUUGGAAUUACGAGCCUGUGUGUUCCCCCAGUAGUUGUUGAGUUUCAGAAGGAUCAUUCUCGAUUAAAUUGGACUGGCAGUUUACAGGGCCUUUGCUUGACAGAUUAUCAGAAACAUCAGUAUCCUUUGAGUGUCCCCAAAUCACAGCAUAGAACCCUGACACAAUGAAAAACGCUCCUACCACACUGCAAAUGCAACACAACAAGACUGAGUGUCAAAUUAAGCUCUUGUCGGUAUCUUUCCUCGUAUUGUAGCAGCUCUCUUCUUGUCAGUAAAUAAAGGUUAGCUUAAUCUACAGAAUUCUAGAAACCGGACCUUCCAUAAUGUAGCUUUUCACCAAGAAAAAUGGCUGAUGCUAUAGCUGCAAUUACUAUCCCAAUUGGCUUAAACAUUGAUACAAAUAGAGGUCCUUUCUUGCAGAUGCACCAAGUUUGCAAAGUGUAGGUAACCCCUGUACCGAUAAUUGCCUGCAAGAAAAGGAUCAUUAAGAAGGAAUGAGUGUUUCUAGUUGUAAGUUUGUAACUACAAAACGUUAGAAUUUUAAAGAGUUGUUAUUCUUACUGAAUAUGAAAUGCUUAUAACAUCAAUGUUCCAUUUAAGCCUCCAAACAGCUAAGUUAUGCUCAGCAAGAGACGUGAAAAUAGCUGAUUGCAUAGCUGCAAUUGUGGUAGUGAAAGCUGUAAUUGACAAUUCAGCUGGAUAUCUUUUCAAAGUUUCCACCUGAACACACAAUUUUUUAUGAAACUAUUGUCAGCAAAAAUUUUGAACAAAGAUUCAUUGAUAGACUAAUUCCAAAAUGACUACCUGCAUGAUGUUCCAAGUUGACCACGAGAUUGAGGCCCCUGCAAGGAAAAAAGAUCCUAUGAUCCAAUCUUUGACUGAUGUUGUCUUCAGGGCAAUAUAGUGACUUUCAACUGAGCCAUGGUUCACAGACCAAAAUUUUCUUACGACAGGGCCCUUAUACAGGGUGACAAUCAUUGCUCCCCCAACAGAAAUGAGGGUACCCAGAGCUUUUAACUGGCUACUUGAAUUUCUCAUAUUUACUUUCUCCACCCUGAACUCAUAUCACAACAAAAAUUACACAGAAUGCAGGCACAGUGUUGGGUAGAGAUAAAUAUCCUGUAAGGAGUUCUAACAAGUGACAUUUUUUUAAUCUGUCGAGCUUCACCCCUCUACUCAACAAUCUAGGCAAGAUGGUGGGGUUUUCUGGGGUAGGGGACUUUAUUCAUUUCUAAGAAGGUUGCAAAGAUGUAAUCAAUAUAAAAUCAGACAAGGAAAGCAUUGCUGCAGUACUGAUAACUUGAAAAGUGAAAAACAAUUGCAAUCAUUUUGCCAAAAAAUUGUGUCAUUCUAAAACUACGGAAUCCCAAACCUCCUCCUAAGGAACAGAAGUAUAUAUAUGAAGAAUACAAAGUUACAAGCAACCCGCUGACUGUAUUUUAUACCUGAAAAGAAGAGAUAACACAAAGGUAAAUGCAGGGAUCAAGUUCGCCAUCGCGGUAGCUAGUGUUGGGGAAGUAUAACUUACACCUGUGAAGACGCAAUUCUGCAUUACAGAAAUCCUGCAAAUCCAGACAAACUUCUGAAAAUGAGAACUUGAAAUUAAUACAAGCAUCCAAAAAACUACGUACAAAACUUUUUGAGUAGCUCUAAUUGCUUGAUUGGACGGUGAUGCAGGUGGUCUUCUUUUCAUAGCAGCAAUGAACUGUGCUGGGCAAAUAAUGAGUCGAUAUUUACUAUUUUAUUUAGAACAGACCAUUCCAUGCACCAUAGUCAAUACUGACUGGAAUCAAAUGUAACUAUGCUCCUGUGCCACGACUCUGUAUUGGCUCAAAAUAUUUGAAGUCGAUACCAAGUCAAUUCAAAAAAACUUGUGAGUUAAUACCAAGUUAGCUGGUUACCUUCCGAGGUUCAUCUUUUGUGUCCUCUUUUGCUCUAGUUUUCACCUCUUUCACUCAUAUUCAGUCUUAUUUUCUGCCUUGCGAAUAGUUCCACUUAUCCACCAACAAAUUUUCAUUGAGGUCAUAGGUUUCAUUGUUUGGCAAUACAUUUUAGCACUGGAAACAGAGGUUUUAUCAUUUUCAUCCGUUCUGAUAAAUUACAAACUAAGAUAGUAGAUAAUUUCAUGCAAUGAUUUAUCAACAGACUCUUUAUCUAAGUUGAUGAAUAAAUUGAGGAAUACGGUGCACGGGCUUGUCUUUAAUUUGAUGUUUUUGUCAAAUGAUAUCUAGUUUGACCAUGUUUUGCUAAUUUUUUGAAGGCAUGGAAGUCGAUCUAGACACUGAGUUUGGCUUACAGAGUUUUUGGUGCGCUGUAAGACUAUAUGUGAAAUAGAGGGGAAGGUCUGGCAGUAAUGAGAAUCUAGAUGGUCACUCUGUCCACCAUCAAUUCAAAUCAAGUUCAAGGUCUGCAGUUGCACCAUACUGAAAUCUUUUCCAAGGCACAUCCUUAGCUAAUACAAGGACACAAUUUUUGACUUUGUGCUAGUGGAGCCCAAGUUUGAGCUUAGCUAUUGAGGCUUUCUUCAGCAGGAGAUAUACAAGCCCAAGGAAUAGGGAUUAUACAAAGAUUAAGGAAUAGUAAUAACACCUAAAUACAAGAGGAAGCACUCAAGCCCAAAUAGUAGAAGUUCAAUCCUCUCGCUUGUGGGUACCCUACAAGGCUGUUCGCCCGGAGCAAUUGGGUGUUAUCCCAAAUUAUGUCCUUAGUAACCACCUUGUUUUGUCAUGUGAAUUUAGCAUUACAGCUGUUAUCAAACAAAGCUGGAUUUCAAUCCAAUCCAUCUGUAUCCUCUCUAAGUCCUGCUUAUCUGCAUAAAGGAAGAAUAAAAUAUUACUCAACACCAAAUGAGAGUUUGUCAUUUAUCCAUGCAACCCAAGCCACCAUCUGAAAUCUGUACCCCAAGUUGUUUCUGCAGUUCUAACUCAAAAACAUCACAUGCUAGUUCACCGGCAUGAGUUGUUAAUAUAACUGAGCUGCCAGAUGGCUAUGGAAAACCACCCACAUCAGAAUGAUAUGUUGUUUUCUAGGCUCUCCUGUUUUUGCAAUUUAACUUAGUAGACAAUGUAUAUUGGACAAAUUCUUAUUUCAAUUUAAGACAAAAUAUAAAGAGAUAUGAAAGAAGACUCAAAUAGUAUUGAUUUUUCCAUAUUUUAUGCAAAUGGAUAUUGCCAAUUGCAUCCACUUACUUGUCCAUAAAAAAAUGUAACUGGGCAUGAUAAGCAUUGCAGCCAUAACAAUGCUGUAGACUACAAAUACAAAAUGGCUCAGUCACACAUCAAAACGCUCCAAUGAGUUUAGCACUUGGAAAGGCAAAAUUUCGUAAAUUCAAUUCAUUUUGUAGACUGUUCUCUUGUCUGCUGGAGCAUAGGCAGGAGCAACAAGCUAAAUCACAUCAAAGAUUAAGAUCUAUUCUUGCUAUUAUAGACUGAAUGGCCACUGUGGUGGAGCUUGUUGGCCUAUGACCAUAUAUUCUAAUAUUCCUCAUUUGGCACAAGAAUUUACUUGCAAGGACACACAACAACACAUUUUAACAAAUUAACUCAUGCUUGAUAAUUCCAAAGCACAGGCAAGGCAUGUGAUUGAUCCUCGUGACCAGGACAAGUAUCUUCUCAAAACUUGGGCUCUCUGGUCAUCAUAUUCCUACAUAGAUGCUUGGUGCUUACACAGCCUUCAGUCAUAUUUUCUUCUAAACCAGAUUUCUCAAAUUUCGCAGUACCAUAGAAGACUCCAAAACCCACAAAGGGAUUUCAAGGUACCACUUUUUCAUUCCCUUCCUCUUCCUGUCAACUAGAUUUUACCUAUUCUGUUUUGGUGGCUAAAAAGGCCAAAAUUGCCAAAUACAUAUCUUCCUACUGUGUGGAUGGAUUGGACUGUGUUUUUCACAAACUGUUAUCAGCAUGUACAUACUUCUGUCUACUUAGUUGUAAUCCAUACCGAAAUGGCAAAAAGAAUAGACUGAAUGGCCACUGUGGUGGAGCUUGUUGGCCUAUGACCAUAUAUUCUAAUAUUCCUCAUUUGGCACAAGAAUUUACUUGCAAGGACACACAACAACACAUUUUAACAAAUUAACUCAUGCUUGAUAAUUCCGAAGCACAGGCAAGGCAUGUGAUUGAUCCUCGUGACCAGGACAAGUAUCUUCUCAAAACUUGUGCUCUCUGGUCAUCAUAUUCCUACAUAGAUGUUUGGUGCUUACACAGCCUUCAGUCAUAUUUUCUUCUAAACCAGAUUUCUCAAAUUUCGCAGUACCAUAGAAGACUCCAAAACCCACAAAGGGAUUUCAAGGUACCACUUUUUCAUUCCCUUCCUCUUCCCGUCAACUAGAUUUUACCUAUUCUGUUUUGGUGGCUAAAAAGGUCAAAAUUGCCAAAUACAUAUCUUCCUACUGUGUGGAUGGAUUGGACUGCGUUUUUCACAAACUGUUAUCAGCAUGUACAUACUUCUGUCUACUUAGUUGUAAUCCAUACCGAAAUGGCAAAAAGAAUAGACUGAAUGGCCACUGUGGUGGAGCUUGUUGGCCUAUGACCAUAUAUUCUAAUAUUCCUCAUUUGGCACAAAAAUUUACUUGCAAGGACACACAACAACACAUUUUAACAAAUUAACUCAUGCUUGAUAAUUCCAAAGCACAGGCAAGGCAUGUGAUUGAUCCUCGUGACCAGGACAUGUAUCUUCUCAAAACUUGGGCUCUCUGGUCAUCAUAUUCCUACAUAGAUGCUUGGUGCUUACACAGCCUUCAGUCAUAUUUUCUUCUAAACCAGAUUUCUCAAAUUUCGCAGUACCAUAGAAGACUUUCAAAACCCACAAAGGGAUUUCAAGGUACCACUUUUUCAUUCCCUUCCUCUUCCCAUCAACUAGAUUUUACCUAUUCUGUUUUGGUGGCUAAAAAGGCCAAAAUUGCCAAAUACAUAUCUUCUUACUGUGUGGAUGGAUUGGACUGUGUUUUUCACAAACUGUUAUCAGCAUGUACAUACUUCUGUCUACUUAGUUGUAAUCCAUACCAAAAUGGCAAAAAGAACAAACUGGGGUUAGUACUUGUAUUCAAGUAACUCUGACAUAGUAUUAUUAUUUGCUGUCUAAUUAUACUGACCUUCUUGAUCACGGGUAGUGAUAAGAUCAUGCUUCAAUUUUGCAGAUUUUAACUUUGUUUCCAUUUAUUUCGCACCUUACGACUGCUAUAUGUGACAUUACACUUUCACUGGAUCACAAAAACUUAAGUCAAUUGCCACACAUUUGGGAGUCAAUACCAUUUUGGCUUCUCCCUUACUUUCAUCUUUUCUUCUCUGUUUUUCUGACCUUUUACUCACCUUGAGUGUUAUUUGCAACCAGCAACAGCUAUUCUAUGAGAUUUCAAGAUAUCACAACUUGGAAAAACCAUUUUCAGCCCCAUAAUAUAGGCAUGGUCUAGAUCUGUUUUGAUGCAUUGAUGAGGAUUCCAGAUGAAUGGGCUUCCUCCUACUUGGUGGUGCUUGUCAUUUUAAGAGUAUAACAUUUAUUGUUGGGUUUUAAAUGUUUUGCUUUUAUUCUGCAGAGUUGCAAGAUGGUCUUGACUCUUUGGCUUGGCUUGUCUAUUUUCACUGAUUAACGAGAUUAUGUGCUAAAAUGAGGGGGAAGGAAGGUGGAUCUUCUUCCUGUAAGGAAAUCAUCAAUUCAACAAGGUACACUAUACCAAAAUAUUGUCCACUUGCAGAUAAUAGCAAUGGUCGUGGGCUGAUCUCUAGGGACUGGAAGGACGAGAUAUUUUGCUUGGAGCUGAAACUCGUUUAAGUCUAAAAGUCUGUUCAUGCUCAGGGAGGCAUCCCACGGCGGGGGAUCAGGCUGAAAAUUUCACAGCAAGGCGAGUCCCAUAGUAGAUACAGAAAGCUGUAAGAGGAAAAUAAGGAUCUCAUCUUGGAUUAAAUGAUUGCCUAAUCUUUCAAUCCCAAAGUUUUUUCAGUGGCGGGCAGGGCCAGAACUUUCCAGCACACACUUUCUGAAUCUUCUCCAUGGUACUUGCAGAGCUAAUUAUGGGGCUCUCCAUCCAUGGGACCAGAAGGUGAUUUAGAUGCCCAGGUUUGAGUUUGGUUCAGACACUUUGUCCAGCUAGGGCAGUGAGCCUUCUACCAGAGGCAGUGAUUUCAAUGAUCCAGGAAUUACACCUAAUUCUAGUUGAAAAUUGGGAAUCACCCCAGUGCUUUUAACAACUAUGGCUCAUUGGCUACCCAGAAAGGGGCUUUGGUAUAUCCAAUUAAGUGUUCUUUUUAGUCUGUUUAUUAGGCAAUUUCCAAUUCAACAGCCAAAAACGACUAAACUGAAUCUUCACCAUAAAAGAGACGGGACCAUUUUUCUCCAAAUUCUCUGGUGCAAGAGUGUGUAUGGCUAAAGUUUGCAGCACCAGAUAAGAAUUAUAGAGAGUUUUCUUGCCAAUGGGAUCUGUUGUGUAUAAGUAGACUGUGGAGGUAAAACAUUCAUGUGUAAUGGAAUCAAAUGCAAAUAACUCCAUAAACCUUGGAAUGAAGGCAUACUUACCCACAUAAAGCAAGCAAAAAAAAUCUACCCAGCAUAUAGCACGUGAGAGGUGGCCGUUUUCCCCUGCAAUCCAACCCACCAUCUGAAAUCAGUAUACAAGUAAUUGCUGCAUUUGCGACUAUAAAUUCUUGUAUAAUCGUUUGUGGGUACUACAGAACUGUGCUAUUUCACUAGCAUGAAUUGUCAAAGGAAUUGAGAUACCAGAUGGCAUGGAAAACCAGCCACAUUAUAAUGAAUAAACAUUGCACUUUUAAAAGAACUCGCAAACAUUCUAUUGGAAGGACAGUACAAAGAAAUUCACACCAAGAAGAAGAAAUAUAAAUUAUAGAUAGGUUGAGAAGAACCUAAAUAAUUACACUUGACAAAGCAAGGAUGAUAUCAAUUGAUUCAUACACUCAAUUCAUUAUCUUUACAGGGAAUAUUUGAUCCCUUAAGGCUUGAACUAGUUACAGAGCUUUACAUAAACAAAAACCUUGAAUUUAUUCAUCCUCAAACAUGCCACGAACUGAUAACCCAAAGCACACCAACAACAAAUUACACGGUAAGAGUAGUUGAUGAAAUAUAAUUUAGUCUACAGAUGGUUUUGAAUACUUUCCCAUGAGGCUAAUUAAGCUAACCCAAUAAAUUGACAUACAGGAGCAAAUACCUAAAGAUACAGUCUCCGAUUUCGUUAUGGUUAUCGCAAAAAGGUAUUGUUCAAUUGAAUCAAUUGGGCAUAAUAGUUUUGCAGCUAACGCAUUGCUUUGAUUUGCCCAAAUGGGUAGGGAUCAAUUGUAUGUACCUGUCAACGAAAAAUGCAAGUGGGCAUAUUAUGAUUGCAGCUAACGCAUUGCUAUAGACUACAAAUACAAAAUGGUUCAAUCCUUCGGAGAAAGCAGCUUUGCUCAAUGUUGUCAGCCCCACAUCCAAACAUUCCAGUGAGAUCAUCACUCCAUAUGGCAAGAAUUUCUGGAGGGAAUUCAUUUUGUUUUCUUUCUUCACCUCCUUCCUUCAAUCAAAUUAACAACAAUGGCGGUGGGUUUGUAUCAAAAUAUUCAAUUCAUCUGCUUUUCUGCAGGAGUGGUGCUGAACAUGAGAAUGAAUUGCAACAGAGAUACGGACACAGUUUUGCCCAGAUUAAAUAAAAUGCCACCGUCGACGUUGUAAAGUUGUUUUGGCCAAUCACCACAUUAUCUAUUAGCAUGUUUUCGUCAUGGUAGAUGGAGACAAGCAUUUAAUUGCUAAUGACACAGAUUUAAUUGCGAGGAGACAAACUAGAGGCUUCUUUAAUUAUUAAUUAUUGUAUUUUGCUAUUCAAUUUUGAAGGACACAAAUAUAUAUUUAACGGGAGGACAAAAGUUACGCACACCAAAAAAGUUGGGUUGGUUUGAUUGUUUGUUUUGAGCUACUAGCAAAUUAUAAAUCCAGCUCAGUAUGUUACAGAUCUGAACUGCCAGUCAUUCUUUCAUCAGUCCUCUUUUGGUCUAUAGCUGUUUGCUGGCUACAGCUGAUUUUUUGUACUAAUAUACAUUAUUUUUUGUAUCUCUUAUUUCAAAUAUUUAAUGGAAAAGUAUAUAUAUUUAUAAA